rnacentral:rRNA from 1 species
CGGCAACAGCUCAAAUUUGAAAUCUGGCCCUUGUGGUCCGAGUUGUAAUUUGUAGAGGAUGCUUUUGGUGAGGUACCUUCCGAGUUCCCUGGAACGGGACGCCAUAGAGGGUGAGAGCCCCGUCUGGUUGGAUACCGAGCCUCUGUAAAGCUCCUUCGACGAGUCGAGUAGUUUGGGAAUGCUGCUCUAAAUGGGAGGUAUAUGUCUUCUAAAGCUAAAUAUUGGCCAGAGACCGAUAGCGCACAAGUAGAGUGAUCGAAAGAUGAAAAGCACUUUGAAAAGAGGGUUAAAUAGUACGUGAAAUUGUUGAAAGGGAAGCGCUUGUGACCAGACUUGGGCUUGGUUAAUCAUCCAGGGUUCUCCCUGGUGCACUUGGCCAGCCCAGGCCAGCAUCAGUUUGUCGCGGGGGAUAAAGGCGUCGGGAAUGUGGCUCCCCCGGGAGUGUUAUAGCCCUUCGUGUAAUACCCUGCUUUAGACUGAGGUUCGCGCAUCUGCAAGGAUGCUGGCGUAAUGGUCAUCAGCGACCCGUCUUGAAACACGGACCAAGGAGUCGUCUUCGUAUGCGAGUGUUCGGGUGUCAAACCCCUACGCGUAAUGAAAGUGAACGCAGGUGAGAGCUUCGGCGCAUCAUCGACCGAUCCUGAUGUUCUCGGAUGGAUUUGAGUAAGAGCAUACGGGGCCGGACCCGAAAGAAGGUGAACUAUGCCUGUGUAGGGUGAAGCCAGAGGAAACUCUGGUGGAGGCUCGCAGCGGUUCUGACGUGCAAAUCGAUCGUCAAACAUGGGCAUGGGGGCGAA